CUGCAACUGUGGCAAGACCGUGUGUCCUGUCAGAGUGGGUGACCAGGGCCUUUGCCAGCAGCGGACUUAUGGAGAAAUGUUUGGAGGAACGCAUUUUCUCUGGAAUCCAGAGUGCUGAUAAAGACAUACCUGAGACUGUGCAAUUUACAGAAAAAAGGUUUAAUGGACUCACAGUUCCAUGUGGCUGGGGAGGCCUCACAAUCACCGUGGAAGGCAAGAAGCAAGUCACGUCUUAAGCUCUUUGCAUUGUACCAUCCAUGUGAGCUAGGAAAGUCUUCCUUAUGAAACCAUCACAUCUCAGGAGUCUUAUUCACUGUCAGAAGAACAGCACAGGAAAGACUUGCCCCUGUGAUUCAAUUAUCUCCCAAUGGGUCCCUCUCAUGAUACGUGGGAAUUCAAGAUGACACAUGAUUUGGCUGUGUCCCCACCCAAGAAGGAUAAUACAGGUGGAACAUAAAUGCCACAUUGAUCUACUGAUAAUUAUAAACUAAACAAUUACCAAGAAGAGGGGAUAAAUCUUCCUUUCUGAACCCA
rnacentral:sRNA from 1 species